rnacentral:rRNA from 1 species
AGUGAACGCUGGCGGUAGGCCUAACACAUGCAAGUCGAACGGCAGCACAGUAAGAGCUUGCUCUUACGGGUGGCGAGUGGCGGACGGGUGAGGAAUACAUCGGAAUCUACUUUUUCGUGGGGGAUAACGUAGGGAAACUUACGCUAAUACCGCAUACGACCUACGGGUGAAAGCAGGGGAUCUUCGGACCUUGCGCGAUUGAAUGAGCCGAUGUCGGAUUAGCUAGUUGGCGGGGUAAAGGCCCACCAAGGCGACGAUCCGUAGCUGGUCUGAGAGGAUGAUCAGCCACACUGGAACUGAGACACGGUCCAGACUCUUACGGGAGGCAGCAGUGGGGAAUAUUGGACAAUGGGCGCAAGCCUGAUCCAGCCAUACCGCGUGGGUGAAGAAGGCCUUCGGGUUGUAAAGCCCUUUUGUUGGGAAAGAAAAGCAGCAGGUUAAUACCCCGCUGUUCUGACGGUACCCAAAGAAUAAGCACCGGCUAACUUCGUG